GGUUCCCACAUUAAAGUAAUCAUCAUUGAAUAAGAACUCCAAUUAUUAUUAUUCUCUGGUUGCCCCCAGAUGAACAUCCAAGUGCUAUGGAGUCAGCUACAUAAUGGGUAAUGGCCAUCUGAUGAACUAUGUUAGACGUCAUGAUGGGUUGUGAUCUUCAGUUCCCUUGCACAGAUAUACUUUGUCAAGAGUCUUAAGAAGGAUCAAAUCAGCAGCGACAUUGUCAUUGGAUUAUGCAUGUCAAAAAUCUAUAGAACAAGUACCACUCAUUCUUUUAUAUGGUUGCAAAUGGCCUUGAUGGCACAGCUCUAACGGUGACCGGUGCAUUGCGUACCAAGGUUUCAUCCUCUUGAAUAUGAAGAUCUAAUCAUGGAUGCGCAUGGUACUGAAAGUGGGCCCAAGUAUUUUGUUUCCUUUUUUCUUCAGGCAUUGUUCCUUACCUAAUCUUCAUCUAAGGUCUGCUCCAGUAAUUGGCAUCCAAGGAAGCAGUCUCAUGUUUUCCAAAUGAAAAAAAAAUGCAAAGAUUUUUUCCAAGUUCAAUUGGUAGGUUUUUAGAGUUCAGGCUAAAAAACUACAAGCUAUGCAUUAAUGUUUUUAUUUGAAUUCUAUGGUUGUUUAAUAUGGUUAGAGGUGAAAUUUGGGACUUGCAAGAGAGGUUGAAAACCCAGAAGACAAGGACUACUCAAUUUGUCUACAUUUUCAUCGUCUCUAACCAAUUUCUUUGUUUAUUAACUGAACCUAAUUGGUAUGCGCUUAACUUUAGCUUCAUGAUAU